rnacentral:rRNA from 1 species
GAUGAACGCUGGCGGCGUGCUUAACACAUGCAAGUCGAACGGACCAUAUUCGUAUGGUUAGUGGCAGACGGGUGCGUAACACGUGGGUGACCUGCCCUCAAGUGGGGAACAACUCCGCUAACGCGGAGCUAAUACCGCAUAUGUUCGCUGAUUCGGUUCAGCGAGUAAAGCAGCAAUGCGCUUGGGGAUGGACCUGCGGCGGAUUAGCUAGUUGGUGGGGUAACGGCCUACCAAGGCGAUGAUCCGUAGGGGGCGUGAGAGCGUGGCCCCCCACACUGGCACUGAGACACGGGCCAGACUCCUACGGGUGGCUG